rnacentral:rRNA from 1 species
UACAGAGACUGCAAGCGUUAUUCGGAUUUACUGGGCGUAAAGAGCGCGCAGGCGGUCGUUCAAGUCGAGUGUGAAAGCCCCCGGCUCAACUGGGGAGGGUCACUCGAUACUGAUCGACUCGAAGGCAGGAGAGGGAAGCGGAAGUUCCCGGUGUAGUGGUGAAAUGCGUAGAUAUCGGGAGGAACACCAGUGGCGAAGGCGGCUUUCUGGCCGUGCUCUUGACGCUGAGGCGCGAAAGCUAGGGUAGCAAACGGG